GCAGCUCCUCACAGCACGUGGGCAGGAAUUAAAGGCUCUGUUUCUAUUUUCAGGUGAAUUGAAGGUCUUACCAUUCAAGUGAGUUUGAUAAGAGGCUGCUGCAUUUAAGGAAAAAAGACAGGGAGAAAAACUGUGGAUGACCUUACUUGUCAUGGGAGAGUGUCGAAUGCAGACUCAGGACAAAUCUGAAUCAAGUCAGCAGACCAUCAGACAUGGAGAUGAGAGAAAUGCAGCCGAUUUGAACGUUGAGGGUGUGAAAACUUCAGGAAGUUGCUAGAAGAUCUGGGAUAUCUACAGAAAGGAAACAAGCAAAAUUCAUCACUGCUACCAAGAGGUAAGGAACUCACCUCAUAAUUGAGAAAUUGAUGGAUCUGGAUUCCCUUCAGGUUAAAGAAAUGCAGCUGAUCUGAUCUCCUGGGGACUGCGGAUUAUAAGCAGUCAUAUUACUGAAGAACAAACUAACGCAUAGUG